rfam:Oryza rufipogon genomic scaffold, chr11
AAAAAGGCAAACCAUGGGUUUCCGUGUCCAGCUUUGAUUGUCCGUCUUAUAUGAAAUUUUUUUAUAAUUCGUAUUUUUAUUGUUGCUAGAUGAUAAAACAUAAUUAAUAUUUUAUGCGUGACUUGUCUUUUUAAUUUCUUUUCAUAAUUUUUUUCAAAUAAGACGAACGGUCAAACGUUGGGCACGGAAACCAUGGUUUGUCUUUUU